rnacentral:tRNA from 1 species
GUAGGUAUAGCUCAGUGGUAGAGUGUAAGUUUAGAAAGCACAAGGUCCUGCGUUCAAUCCCCAGUGCCUCCA